rnacentral:rRNA from 1 species
AGAGUUUGAUCAUGGCUCAGAACGAACGCUGGCGGCGUGCUUAACACAUGCAAGUCGAACGAGAAAGUUUCCUUCGGGAAGCGAGUAGAGUGGCGCACGGGUGAGUAACGCGUAGGUAAUCUACCCUUAUGAUUGGGAUAACAUUGGGAAACUGGUGCUAAUACCGGAUACCCUUCCUGGCUGUAGGGUCAGGGAGGAAAGGUGGCCUCUUCAUGAAAGCUACCGCAUGGGGAUGAGCCUGCGUACCAUUAGCUAGUAGGCGGGGUAACGGCCCACCUAGGCAACGAUGGUUAGCGGGUCUGAGAGGAUGAUCCGCCACACUGGAACUGGAACACGGACCAGACUCCUACGGGAGGCAGCAGUGAGGAAUAUUGCGCAAUGGGGGAAACCCUGACGCAGCGACGCCGCGUGAGUGAGGAAGGUUUUCGGAUCGUAAAGCUCUGUCAGAAGGGAAGAAAUGUUGCAUGGUUAAUACCCAUGCAAUUUGACGGUACCUUCAGAGGAAGCACCGGCUAACUCCGUGCCAGCAGCCGCGGUAAUACGGAGGGUGCAAGCGUUGUUCGGAAUUACUGGGCGUAAAGGGCGCGUAGGCGGCCUGAUAAGUCAGAUGUGAAAGUCCAUGGCUCAACCGUGGAAGUGCAUUUGAAACUGUCUGGCUUGAGUAUCGGAGGGGAGUGUGGAAUUCCCGGUGUAGAGGUGAAAUUCGUAGAGAUCGGGAGGAACACCGGUGGCGAAGGCGACACUCUGGACGAAUACUGACGCUGAGGCGCGAAAGCGUGGGGAGCAAACAGGAUUAGAUACCCUGGUAGUCCACGCCGUAAACGAUGUGAACUAGGGAUAGGGGGUGUUGAUCCCUUCUGUCCCGCAGCUAACGCAUUAAGUUCACCGCCUGGGGAGUACGGCCGCCAGAUU